rnacentral:rRNA from 1 species
AUUGAACGCUGGCGGCAUGCCUUACACAUGCAAGUCGAACGGCAGCGGACCUUCGGGUGCCGGCGAGUGGCGAACGGGUGAGUAAUGCAUCGGAACGUGCCAUUGAGUGGGGGGAUAACGUAGCGAAAGUUGCGCUAAUACCGCAUAUUCUGUGAGCAGGAAAGCAGGGGACCGCAAGGCCUUGCGCUCUUUGAGCGGCCGAUGUCAGGUUAGCUAGUUGGUGAGGUAACGGCUUACCAAGGCGACGAUCUGUAGCGGGUCUGAGAGGAUGAUCCGCCACACUGGAACUGAGACACGGUCCAGACUCCUACGGGAGGCAGCAGUGGGGAAUUUUGGACAAUGGGGGCAACCCUGAUCCAGCCAUGCCGCGUGAGUGAAGAAGGCCUCGGUUGGU